rnacentral:rRNA from 1 species
AUUGAACGCUGGCGGCAUGCCUUACACAUGCAAGUCGAACGGUAACGGGUCCCUCGGGAUGCCGACGAGUGGCGAACGGGUGAGUAAUAUAUCGGAACGUGCCCAGUAGUGGGGGAUAACUGCUCGAAAGAGCAGCUAAUACCGCAUACGACCUGAGGGUGAAAGGGGGGGAUCGCAAGACCUCUCGCUAUUGGAGCGGCCGAUAUCAGAUGAGCUAGGUGGUGGGGUAAAGGCCGACCAAGGCAACGGUCUGUAGUUGGUCUGAGAGGGACGCACAGCCACACUGGGACUGAGACACGGCCCAGACUCCUGCGGGAGGCAGCAGUGGGGAAUUUUGGACAAUGGGCGCAAGCCUGAUCCAGCAAUGCCGCGUGCAGGAAGAAGGCCUUCGGGUUGUAAACUGCUUUUGUCAGGGAAGAAAUCUUCUGGGCUAAUACCCCGGGAGGAUGACGGUACCUGAAGAAUAAGCACCGGCUAACUACGUGCCAGCAGCCGCCGUAA